AGAACAGUCUGUUCUUGGCAUCAUGUCUCAGUUCUGACAGUCAUAAAGUGAACAGAGGAUUGGAAGAAAAGGGGAUUCAUGCCGGUGACACCUGAAGCACCGGGUGAGCCAUGCAAAGCUUUUCGUCACCAUAUGGAAAAUCUCUACUGCAGCUGCACAGCCCUGGGCCAAAACUUUCAUCCUUCCAGAUACCGUGACAGAGGUCAUGUUUCCAGGAAACCCCAUUUGUACUUUCACACGCAAAAAUGAAACUUCUGUGAUGCAAUAUCUGGACAUGAAUCUGCUCCCUGUGGUGUUGCUCUGCUUGUUCUGCUGCUGCCUGAUCAUCACUGGAUCAACACUGCCACUUGGUGGCCAGAAAUCUCAACCCUCUGGUAGACAGGAUAGAGAAUUCACGCUGCUCCGUCUAUCUUCUCUACCAUGUCUACAGUUUACUUCCCAGUGUCGCUGGACAUCAACAUUAGAAACUAUUCACACAUUCUUGAUAAAACAUACAUAUUUCUCUGCAUUUGAUUGUCUAAAGAAAUUAACUCUGACAUUUCGUUUUCCCUCUGAGGUCCUCUGUUCUGUUGAUUUAAAGCAGUUUUAGCAGUGAGUGUUGCUGUGUUUUACUGCAUAUCCAGUCAUUAUGAAGCUAAUAAAGUAAAUCCACUUUAUGUUAUUUCAUGUAAUCAUUCUCACUAACAGGAGCUGUUGGAGAACCUUUAAAAACAUUUGAAAUAUGAAGUGAUUGUGAGCAUUUAUGACAUGCUACCACCAGCAACUUGAUCCAGUUAACUAACUUGAAAACUUGACCUUUCUGCUUUUGUCUUCCUAUACUGCAAUUUUUAAAAAUUAAAGGGUAAAUCUGGAAAUACAGUAUACAAUCAGCAAGACAUGAAUCAGUUACCGGUAAUAAGGGAAAACCUACAAAGGUUUUAAAACUGCUAAAAUUUUCCAUCAUACAAUUUUUGCCUGUUUGAAGACAACGAAAGAGAUACCAGAGAAAGUGAUUAAGUGUCCAGGGUUUCCUCUGGCUGUGUGAUGCAUAAAGUAAUGCAGCUCUGGCCCUCCCCCACUUUUUGCUGCACACUGCUGGUCAGCUGGCCGAAAGAAGGCAA